UUUCCUACGGGGGGCAGCAGUGGGGAAUAUUGCACAAUGGGGGAAACCCUGAUGCAGCGACGCCGCGUGAAGGAAGAAGUAUUUCGGUAUGUAAACUUCUAUCAGCAGGGAAGAAAUGACGGUACCUGACUAAGAAGCCCCGGCUAACUACGUGCCAGCAGCCGCGGUAAUACGUAGGGGGCAAGCGUUAUCCGGAUUUACUGGGUGUAAAGGGAGCGUAGACGGCGAUGCAAGUCUGAAGUGAAAGGCGGGGGCCCAACCCCCGGACUGCUUUGGAAACUGUAUAGCUGGAGUGCAGGAGAGGG
rnacentral:rRNA from 1 species